rnacentral:rRNA from 1 species
AUUGAACGCUGGCGGCAGGCCUAACACAUGCAAGUCGAACGAGUGGCGGACGGGUGAGUAAUGUCUGGUAAACUGCCUGAUGGAGGGGGACAACUACUGGAAACGGUAGCUAAUACCGCAUAACAUCCUAUGUGCCUAGAUGGGAUUAGCUAGUUGGUGGGGUAACGGCUCACCAAGGCGACGAUCCCUAGCAGGUCUGAGAGGAUGACCAGCAACACUGGAACUGCGACACGGUCCAGACGCCUACGUGAGGCAGCAGUGGGAAAUAGUGCACAAUGGGCGCAAGCCUGAUGCAGCCAUGCCGCGUGUAUGAAGAAGGCCUGCGGGUUGUAAAGUACUUUCAGCGGGGAGGCGUUACCCGCAGAAGAAGCACCGGCUAACUCCGUGCCAGCAGCCGCGGUAAUUC